rnacentral:rRNA from 1 species
AUACGUAGGUGGCAAGCGUUAUCCGGAAUUAUUGGGCGUAAAGCGCGCGUAGGCGGUUUUUUAAGUCUGAUGUGAAAGCCCACGGCUCAACCGUGGAGGGUCAUUGGAAACUGGAAAACUUGAGUGCAGGAGAGGAAAGUGGAACUCCAUGUGUAGCGGUGAAAUGCGCAGAGAUAUGGAGGAACACCAGUGGCGAAGGCGACUUUCUGGUCUGUAACUGACGCUGAUGUGCGAAAGCGUGGGGAUCAGACAGGAUUAGAUACCCUGGUAGUCAAGGGCG